GGCGGGGCCUGAGAGGGGAAGCCGGUAAAAGAGCCAGUCUUCGGUCUACAGAGACAACAGCAUCGGUGGAAAUCCCUAGGUCAUAGGCCUGUCAGAAAAAUAAAGAUGACUGAAGCCAUGUAAUAAUAUUAAGAAGAGGAUAAAGACAGACUGUGACCAACUGUCCACGUGGGCCCUCCUUGCUGAUUAAUAACGAUCAUCCACACUUACC
rnacentral:lncRNA from 1 species